UGGGGAAUAUUGCACAAUGGGCGCAAGCCUGAUGCAGCCAUGCCGCGUGUAUGAAGAAGGCCUUCGGGUUGUAAAGUACUUUCAGCGGGGAGGAAGGGAGUAAAGUUAAUACCUUUGCUCAUUGACGUUACCCGCAGAAGAAGCACCGGCUAACUCUGUGCCAGCAGCCGUGGUAAUACGGAGGGUGCAAGCGUUAAUCGGAAUUACUGGGCGUAAAGCGCACGCAGGCGGUUUGUUAAGUCAGAUGUGAAAUCCCCGGGCUCAACCAGGGAACUGCAUCUGAUACUGGCAAGCUUGAGUCUCGUAGAGGGGGGUGGAAUUCCAGGUGUAGCGGUGAAAUGCGUAGAGAUCUGGAAGAAUACCGGUGGCGAAGGCGGCCCCCUGGACGAAGACUGACGCUCAGGUGCGAAAGCGUGGGGAGCAAACAGG
rnacentral:rRNA from 1 species